rnacentral:rRNA from 1 species
GAUGGUAGUGUAUUGGACUACCAUGGCUUUAACGGGUAACGGAGGAUUAGGGUUCGAUUCCGGAGAGGGAGCCUGAGAAACGGCUACCACAUCUAAGGAAGGCAGCAGGCGCGUAAAUUACCCAAUCCUAAUUCAGGGAGGUAGUGACAAGAAAUAACGGACCGAGGCUUAUGCUUCGGGAUUGCAAUGAGUAGAAUUUAAACCCCUUUAUGAGGAUCAAUUGGAGGGCAAGUCUGGUGCCAGCAGCCGCGGUAAUA